AGGACGAACGCUGGCGGCGUGCUUAACACAUGCAAGUCGAGCGGAAAGGCCCUUCGGGGUACUCGAGCGGCGAACGGGUGAGUAACACGUGAGUAACCUGCCCCAAACUUUGGGAUAACCCUCGGAAACGGGGGCUAAUACCGGAUAUGACACAGCUUCGCAUGGGGUCUGUGUGGAAAGUUUUUCGGUUUGGGAUGGGCUCGCGGCCUAUCAGCUUGUUGGUGGGGUAAUGGCCUACCAAGGCGACGACGGGUAG
rnacentral:rRNA from 1 species